rnacentral:rRNA from 1 species
GAUGAACGCUAGCGGCAGGCUUAAUACAUGCAAGUCGAGGGGUAACAUGGUAGCAAUACUGAUGACGACCGGCAAACGGGUGCGGAACACGUACAGAACCUUCCUUUAAGCGGGGGAUAGCCCAUAGAAAUGUGGAUUAAUACCCCACUAGUAAUAUUAGUUGGCAUCAAUUGAUAUUUAAAGAUUUAUCACUUAAAGAUGGCUGUGCGGCUGAUUAGGUAGUUGGUGCGGGUAACGGCCCACCAAGCCAGCGAUCAGUAACUGGUGUGAGAGCACGACCAGUCACACGGGCACUGAGACACGGGCCCGACUCCUACGGGAGGCAGCAGUAAGGAAUAUUGGUCAAUGGACGCAAGUCUGAACCAGCCAUG